GGUGACGGCAAGCAGGGGAAGGCCACGGGCUCUGAUCAUCAGCGUGAGCUGUCAGAGCCAGCCACCCUCCAGCUAGCUCUGCUGUGGGUUCCCCACUCCUGAAUGCACAGCAGCCCCUUUGCCCAGGGCCGGAGCAAGAGUUAAGCAGUGCUCUACGUACAGCCAUGCCAUCAUUAGACUAGACUCAAAGCAUUAUAUAUGUUAUGAUAUAGCCGGGAACUUCAUGUGAACACCAGUUGGUGGCAACAAGACUAAAAGAAGCAACCUUUUCAGGUAUCUUAAAUUAUCACUACACAGUUUGCCCAGUAAAACCAGCAAUCUCUCAGAAGCUGAUUUGAAACCCCAUCGAAGUGAAUGUGCCUCUUCCAGUGGCUUAAAGCAAGAGUGGAUAGACCAAAACAGCAAAAUCUUUCCCUUUGACCCCAGAAAACUUUUGAACAUUUGUAUAUAAUGAAACAUGCAAUAGGCCAGGAAUAAAUUAAAUACAGAAUCUUAGCUCCUUUAAUCAAAUAAUCUGCUAAACCGACGUUCCUGUGUGUGGUCCAAAGGAAAUUCUUCUGAAGACAUAUGGUCUUUUCACUGUACCCUAUUCUGGCUUGAGUCCCGUUAUAUUAACAAACAUAUAGAUAAACUGUUGAUGGGCUUGAUUGUUUCAU